GAAUGAUUCAAGGUCUCUAAAUGCUUUUUUGAAUGGGGUGGAAAUCAUGGAGUUGAUUAAUGAUCGGGUUGAGUGGAGUGAACAAACCAAGAAGAAUGUUUGGAUAAUUGUUGGUUCUGUUGUUGGAGGCACGGUUCUCAUUUCUGUUUCUUUUAUAGUGAUCUUGUGUUGUUUGAAACCAAGAAAAGCACAAACGGUUGAGAACUCGAGUUGGUGGCCGAGGAUGAGUGUUAAAUCUGGAAGUACAGAUGAUAGGACUACUGUAAGAACUCCAAUUGGUAGCACUACUCCUGAUAUGAACCUUGGGUUAAAGAUAUCUUUCGCGGAGAUUUUGCAUGCUACUAAUAAGUUUGAUCCCAAAUUUAUGAUUGGUGAGGGUGGUUUCGGGAAAGUUUACAAAGGAACUUUACACAGUGGUGUUAAAGUGGCCGUGAAAAGAAGCGAAGCUGGACAUGGCCAG
rnacentral:misc_RNA from 1 species